rnacentral:rRNA from 1 species
GACGAACGCUGGCGGCGUGCCUAAUACAUGCAAGUAGAACGCUGAAGGAGGAGCUUGCUUCUCUGGAUGAGUUGCGAACGGGUGAGUAACGCGUAGGUAACCUGCCUGGUAGCGGGGGAUAACUAUUGGAAACGAUAGCUAAUACCGCAUAAGAGUAGAUGUUGCAUGACAUUUGCUUAAAAGGUGCAAUUGCAUCACUACCAGAUGGACCUGCGUUGUAUUAGCUAGUUGGUGGGGUAACGGCUUACCAAGGCGACGAUCCAUAGCCGACCUGAGAGGGGGGGCGGCCACACUGGGACUGAGACACGGCCCAGACGCCUACGGGAGGCAGCAGUAGGGAAUCUUAGGCAAGGGACGGAAGUCUGACCGAGCAACGCCGCGUGAGUGAAGAAGGUUGUCGGAUCGUAAAGCUCUGUUGUAAGAGAAGAACGAGUGUGAGAGUGGAAAGUUCACACUGUGACGGUAACUGACCAGAAAGGGACGGCUAACUACGUG